rnacentral:rRNA from 1 species
UACGGAGGAUGCGAGCGUUAUCCGGAUUUAUUGGGUUUAAAGGGUGCGCAGGCGGCACGGCAAGCCGGCGGUCAAAUCGCGGGGCUCAACCCCGCCCAGCCGUCGGAACUGCCGGGCUAGAGUGGGCGAGAAGUGCGCGGAAUGCGUGGUGUAGCGGUGAAAUGCAUAGAUAUCACGCAGAACUCCGAUUGCGAAGGCAGCGCACCGGCGCCCUACUGACGCUCAGGCACGAAAGCGUGAGUAUCGAACAGG